rnacentral:lncRNA from 1 species
AACAAAGCUAGCUCCGCAAUUUUAUAUUUUUUUUAUUUCAUAAAUGUUUCUCAUUUUUUUUUUGUCAUUACCAUCGGGUUGGACGGAUCUAUGAAUUAUACUCUGCGUAUUGCCCUUAACGUUGAUACACCGACAACACACCCCGCGCACAUCCCUCAGUCGGCCAGUAAACGUCUCAGCAGGUGCACGCAUGCUUGUGAUAAUAAAAUAUGUUCGUGUAAAGUUGCGCAGGAGGUGAUUAUUCUGGAAUUGUUCUCUCUCCUAUCGUUGCCAUAAUUAAAGGACCAAGAAUUAAGAAUGCCGAGAAAAACUAAACACAAACGAGAGCACGAUAGACUUCAAAAGAAAAAAAAAUAUGCAGCAAUUAAGGCAGGUCCUGAAAAGUAUAAAGAAGAUCAGUGUUCGAAAGGGCCGCAGUCACCGAAAGUCAAAAAAUUAUCUGAUAUUAAUGUGACUGAUUGGGAAAACAGAAAAUUUUAUGUUGAUAUAAAGGAACCCGUUGACAAAAAUUUUCAGACCGAUUUAGGGAAAUUUAUCAUGUCCAAUAGCGAACCAGAGCAUGAUACCAAAGAAAAUGUAGAAGGAGUAUACGCAAAGAGAGAAAUUCAAAAUUUUUGUGAUGAUGAUUCCGAUGAACAUAUUUUCUAAUACUUUGAGUUAUUUUAAUUCAUUCGUUUUUGAUAUCAUAUUUUCGAAAUAUUUUUUUAAAAGUAUAUAAUUACAUUGCGAGAAGUCUAAUUUUAGUUUUGUAGUCUGAUUCUUAGGUUAUCUUGCCCUAUUCCCAAUUUUAUUUGGGGUCGGCGCAAUAUGUCUUCUGCUUUUUUGUGUCAUCUGUCAGACAAUUUAUCCAUCUUUUCUUAGGUCCUCCUCUUCUUCUCCAUCCAUCUACAUUUAUACCUAGCACAUACUAUGUUGCAUGCGUAUCAUCUCUCCUCAUUACAUGCCCAUACCAUGACAACCUUCUUACUUCUCAUCUUUUCUGUAACUGGCGCUACUUUCAGACUUCCUCUAAUGUAACCAUUCCUCACUUAUAUCAAUUCUUGUCACACCACACAUCCAUCUCAACUUUCUCAUUUCUGCUACAUGUACUGUCUUCUCAUCCCCCUUUUUCAGUGGCCAACACUCAGAUUCACCCUUGUUCUUAAAAAAACUAUUGCACCACUCGUCUGGUAUUGUUUCCUCUUGCAAACACUUAUUGAAGAAUAAAGUCAGCCAUUUCCAUCCAUCCAUCUUUAAUACCUUCCACACUUUCACUCGUAUUCCACCUGGCCCUAACGCUUUUCCAUAUUAUACUAAUUCUUAGCUUAUAGAAGAAAAAUAAAAGCUUCUGAUUUUUGUCUCAUUAUUCUCAAAGAUUAUGAUUAUUGUGUA